AACGCACCUUGCACUCCUUGGUAUUCCGAGGAGUAUGCCUGUUUGAGUGUCAUGAAAUUAUCAAACCUCAUAGUUAUUUUUUUAAUUACUUUGAGGCUUGGAUUUGGAAGUUGCUGGCAAAUGUCGGCUCUUCUUAAAUAAAUUAGCUGCUUGUCCGUGAGUUGGCUCAGAGUGUGAUAAGUAUCUACACUUGGUGGCUGCUCGCAUUGGAUGUGGCUUCUAAUCGUCUCUUGAGACAACUUUUUAAGAUCUGACCUCAAAUCAGGUAGGACUACCCGCUGAACUUAA
rnacentral:misc_RNA from 1 species